rnacentral:rRNA from 1 species
AUGACGAAAAGGAACAGAACCUAUUACCUCCAUGAAGAAGAACCAGAUCCGGUGCGCACUGUUCAAAACAAGAAUAGUAUCAGCAAGGUCAUGUUCUUAACAGCAGUUGCGAGGCCACGAUUUGAUGAUCAAGGAAAUGUAACAUUUGAUGGCAAGAUAGGAGUAUGGUCCUUCAUCAAAGAAACUCCAGCAAAAAAGGAUUCCAAGAACAGACUCAAAGGGACUAAGGAACUAAAGUCGGUCACAGUUACUAGGAAUGUGAUGAGGGAAUACCUAUGUGAAAAGGUCAUUCCAGCCAUUGAAGCACAGUGGCCCGAAGACAAUCGAACCAUCUACAUCCAGCAAGAUAACGCAAGAACACAUGUUCCUCCAGAUGAUUCAGAUUUUCUAGCUGCCGUAGCAGAAUCAGAACUGGAUAUCAGGUUGAUGCAGCAGCCUGCAAAUUCACCUGAUAUGAAUGUCCUGGAUCUUUGCUUCUUUAGCUCAAUUCAGUCCUUGACGCUUGAAAGUGCACCAAACAACAUCAAGGAACUGAUAGAAUCAGUUGAAGAAGCAUAUGAUAGGUAUGAAGUGCACAAACUGGCGAGAGUGUUUAUAACCUUACAGUCAGUCCUGAUUGAGGUUAUGAGAGUUGAGGGAGGUACAGGAUACAAGAUCCCGCACAUGAACAAAGAUAGGAUGGAGAGGGAGGGGAUGCUACAUAUCAAUCUAAGAUUCGAUGCUGAGCUAUAUUGGAAAACUUUGGACAUUAUAGAGGGUCACUAA